AAUUGGAGGGCAAGUCUGGUGCCAGCAGCCGCGGUAAUUCCAGCUCCAAUAGCGUAUAUUAAAGUUGUUGCAGUUAAAAAGCUCGUAGUUGAAUUUCGGGAUCAAUAUUUCGGUCAUGCCGUUGGUAUGCACUGUUAUCAUUGAUUUCUCACCUUCUAAAGAACCGUAAUGCCAUUAAUUUGGUGUUACGGGGAAUUAGGACUGUUACCUUGAAAAAAUUAGAGUGUUUAAAGCAGACUCACGCUUGAAUACAUUAGCAUGGAAUAAUGAAAUAGGACAUCCGAUUCUAUUUUGUUGGUUUCUAGGAUCGAUGUAAUGAUUAAUAGGGAUAGUUGGGGGCAUUAGUAUUCAAUUGUCAGAGGUGAAAUUCUUGGAUUUAUUGAAGACUAACUACUGCGAAAGCAUUUGCCAAGGAUGUUUUCAUUAAUCAAGAACGAAAGUUAGGGGAUCGAAGACGAUCAGAUACCGUCGUAGUCUUAACCAUAAACUAUGCCGACUAGGGAUCGGAUGAUGUUAAUUUUUUAAUGACUCAUUCGGCGCCUUACGGGAAACCAAAGUGU
rnacentral:rRNA from 1 species